AGGACGAACGCUGGCGGCGUGCUUAACACAUGCAAGUCGAGCGGAAAGGCCCUUCGGGGUACUCGAGCGGCGAACGGGUGAGUAACACGUGAGCAACCUGCCCCUGGCUCUGGGAUAGCCUUCGGAAACGGGGAUUAAUACCGGAUAUUCACUGCUUCCUGCAUGGGGGGUGGUGGAAAGUUUUUCGGCUGGGUGGGGCUCGCGGCCUAUCAGCUUGUUGGGGGGUGACGGCCCACCAAGGCGACGAC
rnacentral:rRNA from 1 species